CUAGGGCAGGCACAGCCUGAGGACUGCUGUCCUACACACCAUGGAGUCACUAGGGCAGGCACAGCCUGAGGACUGCUGUCCUACACACCAUGGAGUCACUAGAGCAGGCGCAGCCUGAGGACUGCUGUCCUACACACCAUGGAGUCACUAGGACAGACACAGCCUGAGGACUGCUGUCCUGCACACCAUGGAGUCACCAGGGCAGGCACAGCCUAAGGACUGCUGUCCUACACACCAUGGAGUCACUAGGGCAGGCACAGCCUAAGGACUGCUGUCCUACACACCAUGGAGUCACCAGGGCAGGCACAGCCUGAGGACUGCUGUUCUACACAACAUGGAGUCACUAGGGCAGGCACAGUCUGAGGACUGCUGUCCUACACCAUGGAGUCCCUCAGGGCAGGCACAGCCUGAGGACUGCUGUUCUACACACCAUGGAGUCACUAGGGCAGGCGCAGCCUAAGGACUGCUGUUCCACACACCAUGGAGUCACCAGGGCAGGCACCGCCUGAGGACUGCUGUUCCACACACCAUGGAGUUACCAGGGCAGGCACAGCCUAAGGACU
rnacentral:lncRNA from 1 species